GCUUCAGAUUAUUGACAGCUAAUUACUGACAGUAGAAGGUAGUAAUUUAUCUCUAUCUGUAGAUAGUAUAUUGGGAACGGCCGUUAUACGUCUAGAUACACUAUGACAGCUGUGAAAACGCUGAAGAAAAUUUGUAUUUAGAACUAACCUCUAUUUUGAGAAAUGCAUGCACACGAACACAAAGUGUCAUACAAAUCGCGAGUGUAAUACGUAGCUUGUCACGCACACUAAACUAAUAUUUGUGGCAUUGGUUGUCUAAGAGCAAGAAACUAUCUAGACGUGUUAAUUAUCUAAGUGUUAAAAAUUGAGAGAGAGAGAACUUAUCAGCACUCAAAUUGGCUGACCCAUAAAAUAUUCUUGGAACAGAAAGAACUCCAUUCUCUGUUAGAAAAAAAAAACAAAAAAUUUGACGUUGAAAUUUAUUAGGUUCACGUUGUAUUCAAAUAUGUCUCGAUUUGAGAAGUAAAUGCUACCUAUUGUAUUAUACAACUUUUGGCACAUAAUGGCAUAUUUUAUCCAGAUUUGUUAAAUAAAAAAUAUAUAAAACAAUGAGAGGAACAACUACUUUAUUUUUACUGUUCUUUUAUUUGUCAUCAUUUAAAAAUAAUUUGUAUAAAUAUUGUAUUGUAAUAUGAAUAAGACAUUAUACAUAUUGACUAAGUACCUACUGGAAAACAAUCCUUGAAAAUAAAAUUGUAUCACAUAUUUUUCAUUACUAAUACAAUGUAAUAGUUACCACAUAUCUACCUAUUUCAUUCUAUGUACGCAUGCCUUAUUCUAAAUAUAAAUGUAAAGUGCAUCAGAGUACGUUCAGAAACAGGUUAAUUCCGGAUUUUCUCCUAGAUACUUUUUUUUUUUUUGGUGGAAACAGCGGGAAACGUCAAUUUGUUCUGCCCCUCGCCUUUGUUCCCCGCCUCUAUGGAUACGUAUAGCUAAAUAUCUAUCGAGUUAAAACCGUUUGCCUCUAAAUUAAUAUAGCUAGCAGUUCUAAAAAAAUAUAACGUGUAUUAAAUUCGUCUGAUGAUUGCUGUAUUUUUUCAAAUCACUUGUAACUAAAAUAUCAUGAAUGACCUGGGAAAAUUUAGUUUAAACCUAAUCGUUCGGUUAAUAUUACGCGAAAUAAGUUUUUUUUUUAAAAAGAAUCUUACGUCGGGUGGUUCUGUUAAUUUCAUUUAGUCUUUAAUUUUUAAUAAUUAUUUUUCACCUUUAUGUACGUAGUGGCAUGUUGCCAGAAUGACUAAUCCUGAUGCACUAUAUCAAUUAUUUAUCAUAAUAUUGUGAUUUAAUAGCUGUAUUAGUUUUUUUUUACCCCUAAAUAAUUUUACACUCGUUAAGCUUUUGUUUCAAUGCAAUGUCAUAUUAUGUUUAAUAAAAUCAUGACUCAUAAA